ACUGUGAAACUAAGGGUGAAGAGGGGACUCCCAUGCCAACUGGCUGCAGAGCUGGAAUUAAAACGGAAAACACAAUAAGUAGAAUGAAAAGUAAACUAUCAGGAAUGUAAACAGAGAUUUCAGCCAUGUGAUGAAGUUUUGCAUGCGGUGUUCUCUGAGCAAGUUGUCAUGUGAUACGGAGAGUAAAGUCGAGAUUGUACCGAAGGCUUCUUAAUUUCUGUUGGACCAGCAAGAUGAACGUGUCUGGAUCUUCCUGCUUGCUUUGCUGAAGAAACAAGGCUGAUGUGACGAGGCCGCCUGUCUGCCUGUUGUCCCUUCUCCCAAAACUUUCUGGGCUCUUUCAGCCCAGUCUGGUGAAUGAUCCUACACAUGCCAUGGAGAUGUUCCUGGGGAUAAUGGGAAAUGUGAAACCUGAAGCAGCACAUGCUCUCACCUGCCGGAGGAUAUCCCAAAGGAUACGGGGUGGCCGGGGUGUUGCCAUGCAAUGGUAAUGGGACAUUUCUGUGGAAAACCAACUCUGCAAACCCCAGCUCUGCAGCUCAGUGAGCAUCAUCUGCAUUCAUAAUCCUAGGUAGCUCUCCCGGUGACGGAUUCAGCUGUCGGCAUUUUGCCAGUUAGCUGCCUCCUGAUGUGAGCUGCUUCAGAUGUGGUUUUGAUGUGGCUACUGGAGCUGUGCGUGUCUGUAUGUAUACCGCACACCUACCCAUGCAUGAAAGGACAGCAAGGUCUUUGAGGACCAGCCCAGGAGCACAGAGUGAUCAGUCCCAACUUCGGAUUUCACGGUUUGAUCCGUUGUCCACCUUCCCACACUGCCGAGGCAGCGCUGGAGCACGCAGGCAAACGCUGCAGCCUGGCCAGGAAUAGAAACGCGUGCUUAGGUUUGUCUGCUGGGGCUGCCUAGCCUGUAUCAGGAAUGAGAAAUUCUGCUUUGCAGGCAUGAACCUGCUCCGUGUUAUGGUCUCACAGCUCUGAACGCUUCCAAGGCUGCCUUACCUGUAAGCUGAAUGAUCAGGACAAAGAUACAUUUCCUUUCCUGCAGGGCAUUUCCUUCUCUCCCAGGUCUGUCCGCACCACAUCACACACACCAUUUUGCAGGUACAAAAGGAUGUAAUCCCACCCAGGUGCUCCCAAGACACCCCUUCAGUGACUGGCAGCUGCUGAAAGACCCCCUCUCUUCAUUUUCAAGGUUUUCUCCACUUCUAUCAGGAUCCUGCUCUGCAAAUAUCAUGCACAGCAUUUUGUUGCCUAAAUUUCAAUUGCAGCCACACGAUCUGUUCGUCCAUGAGCAAAAGGCUUCCCCCGUGUCAGAAUAUGAAUUGCAGCCAUGAAUUCACCCUUGGCUAAAUCGCGUGUUUAUUCCAGCUGUGAACUCUGCUCCUGCAGGGAGGGAAUCAUUACCGACAUCAAUUCCCUGCGAGGGGAGGGCCUCAGGAGGGAGCAGCACAAACACGGCAGAAAAAAGCAAGCCUGACAUGCUUGUUAUGAAUAAAAUACCCAGCCCAGCUUUAAUCACGGCUCAGAACAGCACAGGAGGCCUGGUUUAUGAGGCAUAGUACACGCACUUUUUUCCUCCCCAAGAGGAGUUUUAUUUUAGGUAAUAAAAAUGAGGAGAAAGCACUGGAAAGUCAGGGGAAAGUGGAAGGACCCUUUGCACAAGAGUCCCUUCGUGUCUGUGUGGCGUGGAGUAGAGAAGCUGUUUUUUUGCUGUUUCCCUGUGUCCCAGUCUGCCCACUGGCCUCCCGUGGUGGCACCCCAGGGACACGUCCCUCUGCCCCUUAUCCUGCUCCAGCUGCUGCACUCAGACCCCCACACACAUCCAUGGACCAUGAACAGGGCCCAUCAACUGGGAGGAUAAUUAAAAAUGGCUUUUAAUGAAGAAACAGGACAGUUUGUGCUGAUCAGGGCAGGGAAUGGCCGGACAAACAUAGUGACCAGCCCUGGUUUGUGUGCACAUAGACCCUUUUAUCCCCUUAUCCCUCUAUUUUCCCAUGCUUGUUCCUCCCUAGGUGGCCUUGAUCCCGCUAUCCCCACCUUUGAUUCUUCCCAUAAACAUCCUACAAAAAGUGUCAUGCAGUCCCCAAAUGCCCUUCCCCUGCACCCCACAGUGUGCCCCAUGCCCUCCUCAGGCUUGGGGUGACACAGAGAGCUUCUCCCAUGGGCUGCUGGUGACGGGUGUCCUUCCCCUAGCACACGGGGAUGAGGCUACCUGGGGGGGCUGUUUUAAGGUUGGUGUCUCCCAGGGGUCUCUGGGUCUCCCCCAACUGCUGUGGUGCCUCUGGGCUCCCUCUGUGGGUGGAGAUGGCCCUCUGAUGGCUCCGAUGGCCACCACUGGUGGCUCUGGUGAUGGGCUCGGGGGGAGUGGGGCAGGGGGCGAUUGGCCAGAAAUCACUUUGGGUUACUGGGGUCUAGCAAGGAGCAUAUGUCACUUACAACACUUCCCAAUGUCUCUUCCCCAAAACAACCAUAUCUGGGUGAUGGUGAAGGUGUGGGACACCUUCAAACAGCUCAUUCACCCCUGCCAUUCCUCAACAAUUGAGAGGGAUACAUCCCUUUCUGGUUUUGCUUCCACAUUAGCAUUGGUUUUAUGGUAAUCUCUUAUCCUUUGUUGAAUAUAAAACAAUAAAAGGCUUUGGAAA